UAGUGAGUUUGAUCCUGGCUCAGAACGAACGCUGGCGGCAUGCCUAACACAUGCAAGUCGAACGAACCCUUCGGGGUUAGUGGCGCACGGGUGCGUAACGCGUGGGAACCUGCCUUUUGGUUCGGAAUAACUCAGAGAAAUUUGAGCUAAUACCGGAUAAUGUCUUCGGACCAAAGAUUUAUCGCCAUUAGAUGGGCCCGCGUAAGAUUAGCUAGUUGGUGGGUAAAGGCCUACCAAGGCGACGAUCUUUAGCUGGUCUGAGAGGAUGAUCAGCCACACUGGGACUGAGACACGG
rnacentral:rRNA from 1 species